GAUGAACGCUGGCGGCGUGCCUAAUACAUGCAAGUCGAGCGUAUGGAUUAAGAGCUUGCUCUUAUGAAGUUAGCGGCGGACGGGUGAGUAACACGUGGGUAACCUGCCCAUAAGACUGGGAUAACUCCGGGAAACCGGGGCUAAUACCGGAUAAUAUUUUGAACUGUAUGGUUCAAAAUUGAAAGUCGGCUUCGGCUGUCACUUAUGGAUGGACCCGCGUCGCAUUAGCUAGUUGGUGAGGUAACGGCUCACCAAGGCAACGAUGCGUAGCCGACUGGGGAGGGUGACCUGCAGCACUGUGACUGAGACACGGACCAGACGCCUACAGGAGGUAGCAGUUGGGAAUCUUCCGGAAUGGCCGAGAGUCUGACGGGGCAACGCCGCGUGAGUGUUGAAGGCUUUCGGGUCGUAAAACUCUGUUGUUAGGGAAUAACAAGUGCUAGUUGAAUAAGCUGGCACCUUGACGGUACCUAACCAGAAAGCCACGGCUAACUACGUGCCAGCCGCCGCCGUAA
rnacentral:rRNA from 1 species